ACAUACGACCAUACCCACUGGAAUAUACGGGAUCCCGUCCGCUCUCCCCUAGUCAAACCAGUGAGGGCCGAACUAGUACUCAGGUGGGUGACCGCUGGGGAAUCCUCGGUGUUGUAUGUU
rnacentral:rRNA from 1 species